GGCGUAUAAUCAAGAUGUUUUGCUUGUACAUCUCGGCAUGAUUCUUGUAUUAUUUUUGAUAAACAAACUCCUAUGUGUAACGUUACGAUACAGGUUUCAUCGCUCUGCAACAGCACAGAGUGGAUUUAUAUUAUCUCUAAAUAAACGGGGCAUUUUGAAGGAUGGUUUCCCUGAAAAAUCAGCCCAAGAUCAACUUCCUCAGCUACUGCAGUCUUGUUGCCAGACCGGGUACUGCGGAUUCGACCCCACGGCAGACAUCCUUCAUGUGGGUAAUUUACUCGCCAUCAUCGGGCUACUGAAUUUUCAAAGCGCAGGACACACUGGCGUCGCUCUAAUCGGUGGUGCAACAGCACUGGUAGGAGACCCAAGCGAGAGAGAGAGAGCGUGCAGCGAAUCUUCACCAACCAUGAACUGACUUUUCCACAACGACUCUAAGAAGUUUGGCACUGUCACUGUAUUGAACAAGUUAACUUUGUUCAAAGACUGGAAUGGUUGCUUUUCUGGCAGAAGAUGGCAGACAUUUCCGAAUGGGGAAUCUGCUCAGUAGUAGGCAUGCAGUGUCCAGUCCAGGUUGAAGAGUGUAGAAGGCAUGAGCCUUACUGAGUUCUCUUACCAGCUGUUUCAAGCCUAUGACUCCUACCACCUGAACCAGAAUCACAGCUGUAAGAUCCAGCUGGGAGGGACAGACCAGCUGGGCAACCUGAUGUCUGGGCACAAGUUCAUACACAAGGUGACUGGACAGGAGGUGUAUGGGCUGACCCUCCCACUAGUGGCCAGCUCUGUGUUGAACAAACUGGGAAGACAGUGUGGCUGAACAGGGUCAAGACGUCUCCGUUUCUCCUUUGUCAGUUCUUCCUCAGGCAGCCUGUCAGCAGUGUAGAAUGGUAUCUGAAGCUGUUCACCUUCCUACCCCUGGCCGAUGUGGAGCGGGUGAUAGAGCUGCAGAGACAGGAACCAGGCAAACGGGCCACACACAAACCUCUCGCCACCGAAGUCACCAAACUGUAACACGGCAAUGAGGGCAAAAGGUGCACCAAUGCCCGGUACCACAGUAACCUUCAGGCCCUGGAGCUGAUGCGUGAUGCUGAGCUGCAGGAGCUCUUCAGAGAUGCCCCAUUCCAUGAGUUGCUGCUGGAGCCAGGGCCCACAAUACUGGAUACCUGCCGCAGGGCAGAGGACAUCCUUCGGGGGCCCAAAGGGUAUCGCAUGGUUUCAGAAGGAACUGUAUGGAUCAACCACAGUAAGACAGACAACCCAGAACAGGUACUCAUCCCCGGCCAGCACAUCCUGACCAAUGUACUGUCUCUCCUCAGAAUGGGAAAAAAUAACUUCCAUGUCAUCAGGUGGCUCAAUCUGUGAGUGGAGCUCGGACCAUAUCACUUAUAUGCACUGUUUGUGUACUGGAGGUAGGACAGCAAGCUGGGAGACUUAGGUGAAGAAUAUUGUUUCAAUAUAUCCCUGCUGAUAUCUAGGAGAGGAUUUAGUGCACUAUAUGUGUGUGGAUUCAAUGAUGCUGUAAUAUAUAACAUAUAUUUGGUGAAGGCUUUUGUCUUGUUAGUUGUAUGUUACGUACUGUGUAUGUAAACAGUUUUAUUUUUGUGAUCGUUAGAUAUUAGAUAACCGAUUUGCCUAAUACCUAAUUUCACAACAAGGGGUCAGUGCAGUCUUCCCUUUAAAUGAGAACUGAGUAAAAGCUCCUUCAGACACCCUGUACCAGAGCUCGAUUUAUAAGACCCUAGUUACAUCCAGGAAUUCAAUUUCAAUUGCAAAAUAUCUUACAGCUAAAAUAGAUGAAUAUUUUGACAUUUUAAAAUGGUCAAAAGCAAUAGGUAAUUAAAAACAGGUGGACAAGAUGUGUAGUGUUGUCACAUUUAGAUAUGGGUGAAAUAAAAAAUUAUAAACUCUUACUGUAGUUGUUCUAUUGCAAAUGGCCAAUGAGUUCAAAUUUAAUGAGUUAUUAAUUGAUGUUUGAUAAUAAAUUGUAAAUUGUCUUAGUUGCGUUAUCCUGCAGAAAAUAUUGUUUUCCCAAUGAGAAAUGCUUGCCACUACUCUUGCCACUACUCUCAUCCCACCUUUUGCUGGGGUGUACACUGGUGACCUUGACUGAGCUCAGAUAAGUCAAUAUUCACAUCUGUAUCAUAGAGAGAAACAACUGGUCACCACCAUGCAAAAUAAUGAAAAUGUUCAGAUUUGAUUAGCCUUUUAAAUGGUUGACAGAUUCAUGACAAUGACAACCUACUCCAACGACCAAAUACUUCACACUGGCUUGUGUAUUUGAAAUGUUUCAAAUCAUUAAGGUGGUAUUACAAUUCCACAUUUAUUGAAAAACUACUAUAAUUCUCAAAUAAAAUUAGAUUCCCCUCUCUAUAUUUAUUGUUCUAUUUUGGUGCUACAAAACUAUGACACGAAGAUCGAGACCACUGAUAUUAAAAUAUUUUCUCAACAUAAACAAAUGAAUAAUACAUACACUAAGUUUCCUUAUAAUGGCCCUUUAUUUAUUUACAACCAUAGCUAAAAUGGUGGAUACCUAUAAUGAUUAUGGCUAUAGCCGUUACAAAGGAACAUGUAUAGAAAUGUGACAAUGUUGCAAAGCCUUUGUAACGUGCAUGAUAUGAUCGCCUUAAGAGAAUUGGGCGGGCCUACGUUUUUUUAAACCAAUGAAUUCCCUUCUUCGUUUUAAAUAGUUCUCUGUGUCAAUCAGUUUUUUCCCCAGUCAGCCUCCCCUCAAUCGCCAUAUUGGGUACUGAAAAGACCCCUCGUCCCAAAAUAAAAGGUCACACAGUAGUUCGAAUGAAGUUACUCCUUGCCCAAGCUUAGAAUAUACACCCAGGAAAGCCAGUCCCAGGACUCAAACGUGAAGAUGACAAAGAGCUGAACAUGUAUUUCCCCCUUUUUGUCAUGGAAACCUAAGUGUUCGGUGAUUUUGAAGAGGAACUACAAAGAAAACGAAACAUAUCAAUUCUCCCUAAGGAUGGGGACGCUGUGCAAGCACUGAAUAUAAACACUAAAGUUCUGGCACUCAUAAAGUUACUGCCUCUAAAAGCAGUCGAUGUAGCAGUGUGCAAUUAGGUUUUAUUUCCUUUUUUGCUCUUAUUUCUCUUUUUUUAAACUACCUGUGUAUAUAUUUAUUUUCAUAUGUAGCACAUGAAACAUAUUAUGAUUGGGGAGGGGGAAAAACUAUGUAAAAGGCAUGAAUUUGACUUGAAGAAUUGCGGUGUAGUUUUGUUUCCAAAAUGCUGUUUAUAAAUCCUGGUCCAUUUAAAAAAUGAUUGGAUUAAAUAAUUGUUCCUCAUCGAAGUAUCCUCAUAGGUCAUCUGUAUGUAGGGAGAGAUUGAUGGUACAUAAUGUGUAGCCUUGUAUUUUGGGUCAUUUAAGUGACACACAACGUGGGUUCUCAGCCACCCCACGAAAACAUUGCCUCAAAUAAUGAUACAUUUCUGUUAUGACUAAAAAAGUAAUAUGUGAAGUCAGCCAAUAUUUAUUGUAUUUUGUUAAAAAUCUGUAGGCCUGUCGGUCACUUAAAUUCUGGAAUCUUUUUUUUUGUUUUUACAAGUCUUCCUCUUCACCAUUUAAAAAAAAAAGUGUAGCUAAUUUAUUUUUCUGAAGUGGUAUAGGGUACUAAUUUGCUGAAGGAUAAAAUAUCUGUUAACUGUACUGGUAGUAUUAAUCAACUUCAUACUCGUGUUUAACGGUUCUUAAUAUUUUUUUCAACAAUUAGGCCUUUUUAUGUUUGAAAUGUCCUACAAUACCAAAUACAUGGUUGCUUCAAUACGUCUGUGUCGACGCUUUCACCAUCAGGUUGCCUUGGCAUCGAACUCCUGUUUGAUACAGAAAGAUAAUUUCAUUUGUUAAUCUCCCCCUUCUCCCAGACAUUGUUAGUGCAGAUCAUGCAAAUGUAGUUUCUAAAAUAACUUUCAUUUCGCCCAGUUUCAAUCAGCCUUUGUUCAGAGGCUAAGAAUUGUCUCAAAGUAGUCACUGCCCGUGUAAAUCUGUUAAGUGUACAUAACUUUGUAAAAACACUGAAAUUAUACUAACUUAUUUAUGUCAAGCUUUUUUAUGUAGAAUAAAUGGGGUUUUGAUCAAGGUUAUCCAAAGUGGCAUUUACAUAUAUUUUUUUGUAAGCAUAUUUUUGGUAGUUUUUAUUUUAUCGAAAAAGGUUGCAACCUGAGCCUGAUUUAAAAUAUUUGAUGUGCAUUUUUCAAUGUGUGAUUAAGAUGUCUUGCAAUCAAUUAAAACAGAAGAUAAAUCGUUA